AAGCGCACGCAGGCGGUUUGUUAAGUCAGAUGUGAAAUCCCCGGGCUCAACCUGGGAACUGCAUUUGAAACUGGCAAGCUAGAGUCUCGUAGAGGGGGGUAGAAUUCCAGGUGUAGCGGUGAAAUGCGUAGAGAUCUGGAGGAAUACCGGUGGCGAAGGCGGCCCCCUGGACGAAGACUGACGCUCAGGUGCGAAAGCGUGGGGAGCAAACAGGAUUAGAUACCCUGGUAGUCCACGCUGUAAACGAUGUCGAUUUGGAGGUUGUGCCCUUGAGGCGUGGCUUCCGGAGCUAACGCGUUAAAUCGACCGCCUGGGGAGUACGGCCGCAAGGUUAAAACUCAAAUGAAUUGACGGGGGCCCGCACAAGCGGUGGAGCAUGUGGUUUAAUUCGAUGCAACGCGAAGAACCUUACCUACUCUUGACAUCCAGAGAACUUUCCAGAGAUGCUUUGGUGCCUUCGGGAACUCUGAGACAGGUGCUGCAUGGCUGUCGUCAGCUCGUGUUGUGAAAUGUUGGGUUAAGUCCCGCAACGAGCGCAACCCUUAUCCUUUGUUGCCAGCGGUUCGGCCGGGAACUCAAA
rnacentral:rRNA from 1 species